UAUGUGUGUGUGUGUGUGUGUGUGUGUAUGUGUAUGUAUGUAUAUACACACACACAUACACACACACAUAUA
rnacentral:miRNA from 1 species